rnacentral:miRNA from 1 species
ACACAUCUCUUCCUCUCUCUCUCUCUCUCUCUCUCUCUCUAUAUAUAUAUAUAUAUAUAUAUAUAUAGAGAGAGAGAGAGAGAGAGAGAGAGAAUAUAUAUAUGU